UGCGGACAAAAGGCCAGCUGGACCUCCUCGAAUUCACGAUGAGUGCGGCCGAAGCCCUAGGAAAAGCCGGGACUGUUGCAAAGAGCCACAGAAGCGCGGAAGACCGUCGCUCUCACCGCUACAGCCAUCCAAAAAGCUGCGUUGUUUUGCCCCACGCCCUGGCGAUGACGUCAGAGCCGAAAGAAGAGAGAAGACGAAGCUGAAGGAGUGGUCCAUUCACAAGAACAGCAUUGCACAGAACAGGCAGAGGACAUUGCACAGCUCAAGGAAGUAAUAAUUGCAUGUUACACACCGGCGCUCCUGAACCUAGGACGAGAGAUGCUGUUUCCUCUAGAGAACGCCCUUGACCUACAGGAUAACGCAGCCGUGCCUGCCUAUUCGAGCUUCGCGGAAGGUCCCCGGAACCAGCUAAACGAUGCCAUCGAGAGAACCUCGAUGUAUCCCGACUGGUCCAGGCGCAGCAGUACAACCGAGGCUGAAGGAACAAGACGUUCAGCGUGGGUCACCUUGUCCUCAAACAGACACAUCCGCUCAGCGACGCAGCACGAGGCUUUGCAGCUUCCCUCGCUGACAGACGGGAAGGCCCCUUCGUGGUAUCUGCCCGCGAAUCAAGGAUCACCUACAGUCUACGAGGCUGUGCAGACGGAGCGGAGAUAGGCUCAGUAUAUAUCUCGGACCUAAGGCCGUUCUACCUAAGGCCCGAGAACGACGAAUCUGUCCAGGACCUUCACGGACGGCCCCGUCGUGCCAGUCCAGACCUCUUCAUGGCGAAGACACAACUAAAGUCCCAGCACCGUUUCAUGGUCGGACCUUGGAUGUAGGUCACCCCGCUGAUCCCCAUCUGCCACUUUCGGAUGACGAAUACCGGCUGCUAUGUCCUACGUGCAUUCUACCGAAAUCUAUUGCUCUACACACCUAAAAGUGGCGUUACAUCGCCGUAAUCUUACUGAACGAGACGAGAGACUGCUUAGGGCACAGUCAGUGGAGUCUGCAUUGGCCACGCUUCGUCGUCUGCGUCCUGAUCUCCUCACUGUGCGCCGUCCGCGUUCCCCGGACCCACCGGACAUAGUUAUUGACAUGUCCGAUGGCAUUCUGUAACCACCCGCUACCUACUCUUGGAUGCGGGGGAAGGUCGGCAACGACGACGAGGUGGCGAUGAAGGUGUGGGAAGAGGACGACGAGGACAGAUAAGAGGCAUCUGCAGAGGCACGAAAAGGGAGAAGGUUUCGGGCAGCGUUUGGUGGCUGACUGCAGAAGCGAUCGGGCGGCUGCACUCUUCGUGGCAGGGAUUUCAGGACUCCUCGUGUAUCGUUUGGGGGCGGAAGGUAAUAAACCUUGUUUGUUGUAGGU